GGAUUUCAAGUUUCAAGUGUCAACUAAAACAAUUGCCACUUGAGGGGGAGCGCCGAAUCCCACAUUGGAAAAAAGUAAGGAAUUCAAAGGACUUAUGAGGGUGGAGCGCUAGCUAAUUAAUUGGUUAAUUCUAACCUUUUAGCAAUGUUUGGUCCAAGCCCAAGUAAAUCUAUCGCACUCUUCAUGGACUCUUACUUUGGCUCACUCAGAAUACGUCAACUUGUUCAAUUCAACUUAGUAAUAUGGUACUAAAGCAGGCUACAAUCUGGGACCCAAAAAGCAU
rnacentral:misc_RNA from 1 species